AAAGAAAAAGAGGAAGGACUGUUGUUCUUGUGGGGUAUUGGGUGAGGUUUAUAUUUAUUAUGCCUGUUGUUAGUUUGACAGCAGGAUAUCUGUGGGGCUGACAUUUACUCGGUUCGUCUGUCCUCUACCUACCAAUUUGACAAAGGAAAACAGCAGUCUUAUCACUUGAAAUAGUAGUUGAUGUGCUACAUGCAAUUACAUUAUUGCAUGAUGGGUGGUGCUAAAGGUAAAGUGGCAGGAAGAACUGAAGAAGUAAUAAGUUCUGGUUAUUCUGCUGGUGAAAACAAUUAAGUUCUUUCAAUAUGUAUAGAUCUAAAUAGAAUAAUUCUGCAUUAUUGACCUGAAUUAAUUGUGUAGUUGGUCAUAUUGGAUUUGGAAUCAUGUCAGAGUCAGGCUUCACUGAGUAGUUCACAGUUAGGGUGAUUCAUUUGCAUCCUGAUAUGGAGCAAGCAUGGAUUAAAUCAACUAUGGUUGUGGAUGCAGAAGAUUUGGUGUCAUUUUGAAACUUGCAGAAAGAAGUUUAAGAAAUUUAAUAUUUUUCUGGGUUA